rnacentral:tRNA from 1 species
AAGAAUUUAAGUUAUAAAAACUAUUGACCUUCAAAGUCAGAAAAGAAUAUUGUUCAAUUCUUA